rnacentral:rRNA from 1 species
AGUGAACGCUGGCGGUAGGCCUAACACAUGCAAGUCGAACGGCAGCACAGUAAGAGUUUGCUCUUACGGGUGGCGAGUGGCGGACGGGUGAGGAAUACAUCGGAAUCUACUUUUUCGUGGGGGAUAACGUAGGGAAACUUACGCUAAUACCGCAUACGACCUACGGGUGAAAGCAGGGGAUCUUCGGACCUUGCGCGACUGAAUUAGCCGAUGUCGGAUUAGCUAGUUGGCGGGGUAAAGGCCCACCAAGGCGACGAUCCGUAGCUGGUCUGAGUGGAUGAUCAGCCACACUGGAACUGAGACACGGUCCAGACUCCUACGGGAGGCAGCAGUGGGGAAUAUUGGGCAAUGGGCGCAAGCCUGAUCCAGCCAUACCGCGUGGGUGAAGAAGGCCUUCGGGUUGUAAAGCCCUUUUGUUGGGAAAGAAAAGCAGCAGGUUAAUACCCCGCUGUUCUGACGGUACCCAAAGAAUAAGCACCGGCUAACUUCGUG